GUCGCGCCUCUAGAACCCAAACGAAUUCACCAUGGAGCUCAUCGAAGUACAGGGGUUGAGCCGCCGUCGUCGAUCUAUGCCAGCAACGUCGUUCGAGGUUAAUGCUGGAGCCGCGGCAUGGCCGGUGCUUGUCAGAUCUUCCCUAGGGGUUUGUGCGCGCGAUGGUGGGCGGAAUCGUGCUAGAUUGCUCGUCGAACCUCAUGGAACGUCGUGGUGCCGCGCACGCCGUGUACCACUCUUGGGUCGCCAUCCCUGCCUCCGGUGAGUGACCUCCUUGCUAGCUCGAUUUCAUCCCGUCUAGCGUAGCGCGGUCUAGGUCGAAGUUCGAGCGCAAGGAACAUGGGUAUGAUGUGGGCGUCUAUGGCACCACCGUGGGGGCAGCCUGUGCCGCCGUGUUGAAGCAGGCCGCUGCUUCGUCUCGACCGGGUCGGGGAAGGAGACCGUCCGUCUGUCAGAUCCACGUUGUGCGGUAACCAAAUAUGUGUCGUUGCAUCGUGAUCUGGUGGUCUAGAUCAAAUCCGGAUACCGGGUUGGGUAGAUGUAACAUAGGCCGUUCGGUUCCGAUCGAAUGGGUGUGAAUAGAUCUGGCUCAAUAAAAUCUGGGGCGCAGGGUUCUGAUCCGGUGGUCCGCAUUGCAUACCGCUUCGAUUUAGGCAGGAUCUAAUCUCGACCGAGGAACUCAGAUCUAACGGCCGGGGAUCGAGCAGAGUUAUUGCGGCCGAGCGAUUUUACUAAUGAGUCCCUGGACUGAGCAUAUCUUGCACUGCGUUGUUCCACGUCACCCCGCCUCGUCUCAGCCACAUGAUACACAUCCAACGGUCAAGCAGACGUCUUGCCUUCUCAGCGCCUGGAUUGUUCCAGAGUGCGCUGCACAUGUUUGCGUUUUCUCCAAUCUGAGUUUCUACUGCCAUGGAGGUCGAGGACACACUAAUCCAGCUCUUAAGGCUCCGGCGGGCCGGCGUGCGGGGCCCUCUGAUCCCUGUACGGCCAUCUCCAGCUGACAGCUGUGAUGCCCACCUCUAUCGCUUUCACCGCCGGUGAGCUGUUCCGGGCAGCGAGUGCGACAGUGCUGCUUUGCCUCUAUCAGGGAGCUCCAUGUCCUCAUCAUCAAGAGCUCGUCCUCCCUUUUGGAUUACUCAGAAUACAACAGUGUUUGGGGAAAAUAUCCUCAAGGAGGCUUUUGAAUUUCUGAUCCGAAAAUCCAAGCAAACUCGGAGUAUCCUGAAUGGAUGUGGCACUUGCUCGACAAGCUUCAUGUACUAAGUGAGUUGUGGAGGAAAGACCCUAAGACAGUCUCUUAUGAAGACCUGAAGUGUUUUGUCAAGUUGGACAACCUAUCCAAGAUCAAGGAAAAGAAUAACAUCGGUGCUAAGAACUGAUCUGGAGUCUCAGAACAAAACAUGACAUGUUCUAUUGUACUUUUUUUAUUCAUAUAGCACCAGACAACAUUAACAUUUUUAUGGAUUUUUUGGCAAUAAUGUAGCCACCUGGGAUAUUAAAAUGUUUCCAUUUGCUUGGUUU